rnacentral:rRNA from 1 species
UAGGGAAUCUCCCACAAUGGACGCAAGUCUGAUGGAGCAACGCCGCGUGAGUGAAGAAGGUCUUCGGAUCGUAAAACUCUGUUGUUAGAGAAGAACACGAGUGAGAGUAACUGUUCAUUCGAUGACGGUAUCUAACCAGCAAGUCACGGCUAACUACGUGCCCG